GUUUCUAUGAGCAGAAUGACACUCGAUUCCCACCAAAGUGGACCUCCAGAGAACUGUCGUAGCAGAAAGCACCCGGUUUCCACCUCUGCCUAUCAUCAGUGCUCUCCGCUCUACUUGCCCCUGAGGCUGUACUCCUGUAACCGACAUUUCCCCGACUCUCUCUUGCCAGCUGGCUUCCUGUUCGGUUGUGAUUGUGUGACAUCCGGGAGGAAGACUGGAAGACAGGAAGACAAGAGGAAAGAAGCAGCCCUUCCAUUCCCCUGAGUCGGCGGAGCUUCUGAUGGGGGCAGCAACAGGAGCAGGUGAUGGAGGGUGACAAAAUGUGACUCCAGCAGCAGGGGUGGGCAUUCAGCGUCCUUCCGAGGGUUCUACCUAAUGGAAGUGAAGACACCUCCAGUAGCUUUGUGACAAGUAGGAGCUUCAGCCCAGGGUGACAGCAGUUUUUUUUUUAUCUCUGGCUAACACUUCUUUCUCACUUUGGCACCUUCCGGCCUGCCAAUGUCUUUGUAAUCAAUCCCCUGCACGAAAGCCCUUAAGUCUCUAUGUGGUUUCUGGUUUCCUCCUAGACGCUGACUGGUAAUUAGGUGAUCCUCUUCUGCACUUUCAGGAAAGUGGCCUCAAGCAAGCAAAGGAGGGGUUCCGGGAGUGACAGGAAGGUCUACAGUCCUGAACAUCUUCCUUUUCUUCCCAUCACUGCCACACAAUGCUCACACAAUCCAUUCAAAUGCUCCAAAAAAAAAAAAAAAAAAAGUUGUGUUUUUUGCCUUCUGAUCACACUGGAGAGGACCUCAGGAGAGACAGCAGGAGGGCAGCUACAGCCUGACAGCUGGGCUCAGCGCCUCCACCUACCCGCUGUAAAGCUUUGGGCAAGUUACUGUAACUCUUGUAUUAACAGCUCAGAUUCCUCAUCUGUGAAAUGGCUGUACUAUUAUUACCCAGCACAGAAGAUUCACAUGGGGACCAGUGGAUGCACAUAACAAGCCCUACGUGUGUACAGAUACAAAGCUAUCUAGAAGAAGGUACACGGAGGUGUUAUCAACUGUGGAUAUUUUCAGCUGGCGGAGAAAGUCCUUUUGCUAUGACGAAAAGGCAUUUGAAAACCACUCAAACAAAAAAUAUUGCUAGGCAUUCUGAAUCAUCUCUUUAGUGCGUUAAGGACAAUAAAUAUCUCAUAAAUCAAGCAUUUAAAGGUGAAAAAGUAGAAACUAAGUUACUAUAUUCGGGGGAGGUCUGCAGAACUGGAAAAAAUAUACAUUUAUGCAGAAACAAAGUGAAGAACAUUGGCACGGAGCAAGUUCAGCUUGUUCCAGGGCGCCCAGCUCUACUGAAGCAUCAGGGGGCUGGUGAAUAAAUAAAUGAAUGAACACAGGAUGACAGAGGCCCCUUCGCUUCCGGGGGCUUGCACUCACCGGAUCUGGCCUGACACUGCUGCAUUAGCUGGAGAAGCAGGACGUCACAAACGUCUCCCCACACAAAAGCCACCCCCACAGACCGCACUCAUUUUAGUGAUCUGGACCCUCUACUCAACUGAAUUAAUUUAAGUAAUGUGAAGA